CUAAUGUUUACCGAUGCGCCAGAAAGAAUGAGACAGAAUUACGGUUUUUCCUCCGCUAAGCCACUAAAUGACAACCUGCAUGUCAGUUUGUGUAGCUGUGGCAUCUAUCCAAUUCCUUCAUCACUGGUGAUGAAGAUCUACAACUCAUAGUCAAGAGAGAGACCAUGGACAGGCAAUUCUAAACUUUUAAUCCAACCUGCUAUUCUACACAUUUUUCCAUGAGGCUGAGAGAAAUUGUUGAAGUUUUAAAGCUAAUUUCCAGCAAUUCUACAAAAACAUGGCAUCUUUACCUUUAUUUUUAUCAUGUAUGAAAUGUAACAUUUUUUAUUACCUACUUACCUACCUAGUUAAAAGUAUAAUAUUGCUUACUUAGGUAUUGUAUGUUUUAAUAUGGGGCUAUGUAUUGUCAUGCAUUUAGGUUCCAUGUGUUUCAUACAUCAUGCAAUAGUUGCAACGAUUUAUUUAUUCACAAUCUCUGUAUUUCAACAUUCCAAAGCAAUUAAAUUACUAUCUGAGGUCAGUAAGUGAUAUGAAAACUAGACAAUAGCAAAGUGGAUUGAGAAGAAUCCAAAAGGAUUAGAUAUGACAUGAAAUUAGAUAUUUGAUUACCAACCCUGUUAUCCCCAAAACCCAUUUAAUAUCCCAGACACUCUUAACCUUUAUUUAAACCAGGUAGUACCAUCGAGGUUAAGGAUCCAAGGAUUGCGUUUACAGAAGACUGUUUGUCAUGUACACUACCAUUCAAAAGUUUGUAGUCACUUAGAAAUGUACUUGUUCUUGAAAGAAAAGCACAUUUUCAAUCCAUUAAAAUAACAUCAAAUUGAUCAGAAAUACAGUGUAGACAUUGUUAAUGUUGUAAAUGACUAUUGUAGCUGGAAACGGCUGAUAUUUAAUGGAAUAUCUACAUAGGCGUACAGAGGCCCAUUAUCAGCAACCAUCACUCCUGUGUUCAAAUUGCACAUUGUGUUAGCUAAUCCAAGUCCUCAUAGCGCUUGAUGGUUUUUGCGACUGCACUUGAAGAAACUUUAAAAAUUCUUGACUUUUUCCGGAUUGACUAACUUUGAUGUCUUAAUGUAAUGAUGUACUGUUGUUUCUCUUUACUUAUUUGUGUCACGACUAUCACUGAAGGUGGCUCCCCUUCCCGUUCGGGUGGCGCUCUGCGGUUGUCGUCACCGGUCUACUAGCUGCUACCGAUCCCUUUUCCCCUUUUCGUUUUGUUUGGUCUAAUUGGUUUCACCUGUUCCUUGUUUGGGGUUUUGGGUUGGGGUUAUUUAAGUUCAGUUAGCCCACCUGUGUUCGUGCGGGCUUGUUUGCUGUUUUUGGUUCAGGAGUGUCCUGUCAUUGAUUUUCCGCUGUACAGCGUAUGUACCGGUGUUGUACAUUUUGGAGUGUUUUACGCCUGUGUUCGGCGUUACCCUCUUUUGUUUG
rnacentral:lncRNA from 1 species